rnacentral:rRNA from 1 species
UACGGGGGGAGCAAGCGUUGUUCGGAUUUACUGGGCGUAAAGGGCGCGUAGGCGGCCACCGCAAGUCGGUUGUGAAAUCUCCGGGCUUAACCCGGAAAGGUCAAUCGAUACUGCGGGGCUAGAGUGCAGAAGGGGCAACUGGAAUUCUCGGUGUAGCGGUGAAAUGCGUAGAUAUCGAGAGGAACACCUGCGGCGAAGGCGGGUUGCUGGGCUGACACUGACGCUGAAGCGCGAAAGCUAGGGGAGCAAACGGG